ACGUCCUACUGGCAUACGCCGGUUAUGGCGCGCCGUCCGCGCCCGCCUGACGACUGCUCGCUACGGCGUGUUAACG
rnacentral:sRNA from 1 species